CGGCUUGCGAAGGGGCGGGAGCCGAGAACUUUCUAGAGAGGCGGUUAAACGGGUUGGGGCCCUUGCGCCGAGGGCACCCGAGGGUUGUUUUUGCUUGCUUGUUUGUUGUAAUGGUAAGAUUUGUUUUUCUGGUGGCUGGCUCCUGCGGGCGGCCUCCUCUCCCGCUCCGGGACCGCUCGGAGUCCAGUGAUCGUACCCGUGCCCACGUCCUCCUCCCCACCCCGCCGCCGGAGUCCAGCCGAUUUUUCCAGAUCCUUCUCCAUCCUCCGGACUCCCGAGUCCGGGCCUGCCUGCCCGCCCGCCCCGUCCACCCAGGCCCACAGCGCAGUAUCUGGAGCCGGAGCCAGGCAGCCAGAUGUGGAGUGGCGAGGGUCGUCGUCCUGCGAUCGGGCCCCAGGCACCCGCGGCGCGGCCUGCGCGUCCCGGGCGUGGGCACCUAAGCAGUGUGGGGAUUGGUGAAGGCCGGUGCACAAACCGUGGGGCACCGCCUUGCCCGCCCCGCAGCCUGGCAGGCCCGCCGGAGCACUUGCUCUCGGAAACGGUGUGGGCAGGAGAGCCUAAGGUGGACAGGAAGGAGUUUUUUCAUCUCAGCCGCCGCCCCUCUGGAGUUCGAGUCUGUGUGGCUUGCACUGUGCAGUUGGAGUUACGGAAGAUCUGCCUGGCGGGGUCCGGACUCUGCCCAGCUCUCUAGGACCACAGUGAUGCACAGCGCCCGGGUGACUUGAUGGUUAGAAAAGAGGAAAUGUAUUUGUGUACCUGCGUGGUGCUGGGCCUCCAGUGUCAGAAUGACAACACAGAAGAGAGAGAAACCAUUAAAAAAAACCCAAGAAAAGGAUUCGUCAGUGAAACAGAAAUGGAGGCUAGAAAACGUGGAAAGAAUUUUCCCCGAAUGAGAACAAAAAAUGCAAGGUGCUAAAGAGGAUGAAAAGAGCCUUCAAAGAAGAAGGAUGGGAAAUGCGAACAGGAGUCAGGUGGGGGCGCCUGUUCUGCCCCCUGCUGGUGUAACACGGAACGUUUUGUGUUUUCCUGGUCGGAAGUCUUUCUGUUUCUUCAGCCAGCAUACAAAGUAAUGGGUUUCAGUGUGGCCUUUCAUAUGUAGAUGUCACUGUCCUUUGUUCUUCUGCCCACUGCUCUCUCCCACCUCUCUCCUCCAUCUCUUUGUCCUCUUCUUCCUUUUCCCAAACGGUUUCCCUUUCUGCUCUCAUCUCCUAUAGACACAUAUGUAUGUAUACAUUUAGAUUCCACACAUGAGAGAAAAUGUAACAAUUGUUCAAGUCUGGCUUAUUUUGCUUAGCAUAAUCUUCAGCUCUAGCCAUCUUUCUGGAUGGCUGAAUACCAUUUCACUGUGCAUAUGUAUCACAUUUUUAAGCGCGCCUGUUGCUGGACCCCUUUGUACCGGUUAGGGGUUGUGGAGAGUGCAGCCAUGAGCUUUCACUCCUUCCUUAGAUUUAGCAUUCCCUGCAUUAGAUUUAGCAUCCUCUUUGUUAGAUUUAGCAUUCCCUUGUUGGAUUUAGCAUCCCCUUCAUUGUUUUGCUGUUACUUUAAAUGUCUUCAAAGAUUUUCUGUUUACUGCUGGUACAGAAAAUGCAUUUUUGUGUUGGAGAGGUGUUUCAGCUUUUAAAGACUACGCUCAGAACCAAAAUGUCAAAAUGCAUUUUAUUUCAUAACAAAACUUACUGUGUAACCAUUAUAACUGUUUUUAUGUUUUGGAAGUGAGAUCUCACCAUGUAUCCCAGAGUGGCCUCAAACUUGAAAUCCUUAUGUCUCUGCCUUCC